rnacentral:rRNA from 1 species
CCUACGGGAGGCAGCAGUGGGGAAUAUUGGACAAUGGGCGCAAGCCUGAUCCAGCCAUGCCGCGUGAGUGAUGAAGGCCUUAGGGUUGUAAAGCUCUUUCGACGGGGACGAUAAUGACGGUACCCGUAGAAGAAGCCCCGGCUAACUUCGUGCCAGCAGCCGCGGUAAUACGAAGGGGGCUAGCGUUGCUCGGAAUCACUGGGCGUAAAGGGCGCGUAGGCGGCCAUUCAAGUCAGAGGUGAAAGCCCAAGGCUCAACCUUGGAACUGCCUUUGAUACUGUUUGGCUUGAGACCGGUAGAGGUAAGUGGAACUGCGAGUGUAGAGGUGAAAUUCGUAGAUAUUCGCAAGAACACCAGUGGCGAAGGCGGCUUACUGGACCGGUCCUGACGCUGAGGCGCGAAAGCGUGGGGAGCAAACAGGAUUAGAUACCCUGGUAGUCCACGCCGUAAACGAUGAGUGCUAGCCGUUGGCGGGCUUGCCCGUCAGUGGCGCAGCUAACGCUUUAAGCAUUCCGCCUGGGGAGUACGGUCGCAAGAUUAAAACUCAAAGGAAUUGACGG